rnacentral:rRNA from 1 species
UACGUAGGGUGCAAGGCGUUGUCCGGAAUUAUUGGGCGUAAAGAGCUCGUAGGCGGUUUGUCGCGUCGAAUGUGAAAACCCGGGGCUCAACCCCGGGCCUGCAUUCGAUACGGGCAGACUAGAGUUCGGUAGGGGAGUCUGGAAUUCCUGGUGUAGCGGUGAAAUGCGCAGAUAUCAAGGAGGAACACCGGUGGCGAAGGCGGCCCCCCUGGACCGGUA